rnacentral:misc_RNA from 1 species
GUUUUGGUCUGUUAGAGGUUAUACUGAGUGAACUGAAUCAGGUCAUCACUAUUUCAUCAUGCAGGUAUAAUUGUUUUUUUCACUAUCAAGUUCUAGUGAGCUUACUUAUUACGGGAGAAUUGAAUGGUCUUUACCUUCUUUGACCAAAUUAAGAAAGCAUAUGAGACCUAACAAAUGAUAAGUGGUCAGGGUUCCUGAUUAUAUAGCGUUGUACUUGACAAAAAAUUGGUAGAAUAGCUGAUUAUCAGGAUGGAAUGUCCGAGAGAUAGAAAAGGUGGAGAUUUUACUUAAUAUUGCUA